rnacentral:hammerhead_ribozyme from 1 species
CAAUGCUGAGGAGUCCCACAACAGGACGAAACGUUCGUCUAGUGC